rnacentral:rRNA from 1 species
CCUACGGGAGGCAGCAGUAGGGAAUAUUGCCCAAUGGGGGAAACCCUGACGCAGCAACGCCGCGUGAGGGAAGAAGGCUUUCGGUUUGUAAACUUCUAUUAUCAGGGAAGAAAAUGACGGUAGCUGAUUAAUAAGCACCGGCUAACUACGUGCCAGCAGCCGCGGUAAUACGUAGGUGGCAAGCGUUAUCCGGAUUUACUGGGUGUAAAGGGAGCGUAGACGGGAGAACAAGUCUGGUGUGAAAUGCUGGGGCUUAACCCUAGAACUGCAUUGGAAACUGUGAAUCUAGAGUGCAGGAGAGGUAGGUGGAAUUCUUGGUGUAGCGGUGAAAUGCGUAGAUAUCAGGAGGAACACCAGUUGCGAAGGCGGCUUACUGGACUGUAACUGACGUUGAGGCUCGAAAGCGUGGGGAGCAAACAGGAUUAGAUACCCGUGUAGUC